ensembl:lncRNA
CAGCUCCACCCGUCCUCCGGGAAGGAGCCCCUCCCAAGGCAAGUUCAACUGGGUUCCUUGGCAGCCGAAGUGUACACGGACCCCGCAGGGAGUGGUGGAGAAAAAGAUCUGGAUCCAGAGAAUCUUCAGCGAAGCCUGAACGGCUCCUGCCAAGACACCGAUUUAACAAUCUGUGUGAAUUUCUGCCAGGAGUGAUUAGAUUUCUUCUUGUUCUCCCAACCAAGAUGUGGGAGAGUGAUGAAUCUACUUGAAGAAAAGGACCCCAUGGAGACCUGGGAGAGUGGGAAGAAAGCAUGUGAUAUGGACAAACAAAGGCACCCACAUCUAUGGCUUUGAUCUCCACUGCAGACAGCGUUCUGCUCCAUCUCAGAAGAGGUUGCCGUGUGUGCCCCAUUAGCUGGCCUUUGGAAUAAACUCACAACAGAACUUGCGGCUAGAAUUCCACCACUGACCAUUCGCAAAGAGAAUCUCUGGCAAAUAUAUCCCUCAAGGAAUUUAAGUUUCAUAAACACAGGGGUUUGUGCAUAAAGGGCAAUCAAAAGAUUGUUGAACAACUGAGAAAAAAGAUCCUUUACCAGCACAUAUCCAGAGAAGACCAUAACUGAGAAAGAUACAUGCACCCCAGCGUCCAUAGCAGCACCACUCACAACAGCCAAGACCUGGAAGCAACCGAACUAUCCAUCAACCGAGGAACGGCUAAAGAAGAUGUGGCAUAUGUAUAUACGAUGGAAUAUUACUCAACCAUAAAAAGUAAUGAAGUAAUACCAUUUGCAGGGACAUGGAUGAAACUCGAGAUUAUCAUAACAAGUGAAGUAAAUCAGACAGAGAAAGGC